GUCCAGGGAUGGGAAUCGAACCCACAGUGUUCCGCUUACCGGGCGGAUGCCAUGUCCACUAGGCUACCCUGGA
rnacentral:tRNA from 1 species